UAGUAGUAGUAUCUAGCUAGUAGUAGUAGUAUCUAGUAGUAGUAGUAUCUAGCUAGUAGUAGUAGUAUCUAGCUAUUCAUAAUAAACCUUUUUGGAGGGUUUGAAGGCGUUAUUAUUCAUAAACGUGUCACAAAGCCUCCACCACGUGACACGGCCAACCAGCCAAUGUCAACGUUCAGGUCUGCUGGCAACUUAAAGGGCUUCAGGAGACCGCUAAUGCAAGCCCUGUUAUUCCUACAUUGACAGGAUGGGGGCCACAACGCAUCAUCACGUGGCCCAUCGUUUGGGUUUGACAGUUCCACUGAUUAAUAUUACAGUUUUUAUUCUCCUAAGCACGUUAUAUUCAGACACAAAUGCUUUUUUUCUUACACACAUUAAACUGUUUUUGGAAUUUGCCUAUAUAUGUGUGUGUGUAAGGUUUUUAAGUAGAAGCUCCGAAGGAUAUUUUUCGCCCGGGCUAUUUAUUUAUUAAACGUGUCACGACAAUAAUAUUACAGUUUUUACUAUAUGUGUGUGUAAGGUUUUUAAGUAGAAACUCCUAAGGAUAUUUUUCGCCCGGGCUAUUUAUUUAUAAAUGUGUCUCGACAAUAAUAUUACAGUUUUUACUAUGUGUGUGUGUAAGGUUUUUAAGUAGAAGCUCCGAAGGAUAUUUUUGCGCCCGGGCUAUUUAUUUAUUAAACGUGUCACGACAAUAAUAUUACAGUUUUUAUUAUA